UCAACAUUAGUAUAGGUUCAGCCCUGAGAUCCUAAAUGAGGCUCUAAAUUUUCUUAUGGCUCAAGUCGUCAUUCUACAGCAACAUCAACAUUUAUCUCCCAAGGAAAGAAUUGCAAACCUAUGUUCUACCAGUAACCUGGGUGUAACCUUACUAUAAAUGAAAACAUGCUUCCUUUUUUUUAACUAUACAAAAGAUUCUGAGUUUUGAGGCCUGCUUAUCUGUUUUACUUGUGUCCCAAUGUCCCCCAAAUACCCACCUCAUACAUGAGGCGGUAUGGGAUAAAAGUUAGUUAAGUGCUCAAGGGUCUGUGCCUAAUUUAGAGCCUAGCUCUGCUGCUUUUCUCUGUGGAAA
rnacentral:lncRNA from 1 species